ensembl:lncRNA
UUCGUCAACACUACUGUUGUUGCAGUAGUGCCCACAAAAUGAAAAAAAUACUCUCCUGGGUUUAUAUUGGGUUAUUUAUGGUUUAAUGACUAACAAUAGCACGAUAUACACAGAUAUGUGAAUAAACAAACACAUAGGCCCAAACAUGUAGUUGUUCUGGUGUACGGCUGCAUUACGUAGCCUAGUUGCUAUACCUACGCUGGCGUUAAAUGGACCAUUAUUUCGUCUUAAUUGCAUUGCUCUACUGUCAACUGUAGCCUACUGUUCUCUACACUUGGUAGAAGGUGAUUGACAACUUAUUGAAAAGUAAGGUGCGUCCCGCCCCAACCUCUGGGGUACAUGCAGUCGCUUCACGAAAGACGUUUGACACAAAGGUCUCCCGUUGCCUUUAAUUUCUGCUUUUUGCUAUUUGUUUAAAAUCUUAACAUUGGAAGGGUAAAAAAUAACGAAUCAGCCAUUUUAACCUUUGUGUUUGGUGUGUGUGUGUGUGUGUGUGUGUGUGGGGGGGGUGUUUGAUGUAGAAGAAAUAGGCUAUGUAGACAUUACUUCCUCAAAUCGAGAUGACAUUUCCUCAUGUCGCUAGUGUCAAAUGUCAAAUGUUUCCAUAAGUAGCUAUUUAUUUCAGCAUGGCCUGCCUAAGUAUUAUUGGCAUCUCCAUGAUCUUUUGAUAGUGUUAUUGUUCAAAUGUUAAGUGGGUGAUAAGGGCACAACAAGGUUGCUUGGGUGGAGAGAAAUGGUAAGGACACACUUGAACCAAACUAAUAAAGUGAAAGACAGCAUCCAUGUUCUGUCCACUUCUUGAAACUGAAAAUUAAAACCCUGUCUUCGCUUCUUCUGAAAUGCCUCAGUUAAAUUGGAUUUGGGUGUAAAAGUUUAUCAUAAAUGCAGUUGAGAAUGUACACAUUAUCGAUGCUGAAAGUAUGCACACACAUUUCUUUAGUUAUUCAAAAGCCAUUGACUAAAUAUGAGGCCUUUCUUUGAUCUCAGUUACUACAAAGAAAUGUGUUAUGAGGGUCGUCAAAUUCAAUUUAUCUUAACCUACAUGUUUUGCCACUUCUGACAUGUUUUAGAAAAUAAGACCACUAUAAUCUAUCAUAUUCAAAGCUUUUCCACAUCCAUCAUAAUUUAUUUAUUAUCUAGUAACUAAUUCGAACAUUCCAUUAAUGUCAAGUACAGUCACUUGUGCCAAUAUACUCUUUCUGGCCACCAUGACACGGAAAAAGACCAUUCUGUCUCACGUACAAAACAGCAAGAGAAAAUCCCCAAUCAGAGAAAACCCCAAACCCACAUUUAUAGAAAGCAUGACCACACCAGAUCAAGAUAAUUUUCUGGAUCACAUUUGCUGCUCGGUUAUCAAAAUCCCAACCCAAAUAGGUGCUAGAUUUGAUCCCCAAUGUCCGCAGCCAACCUGUAAGCAUCCAUGAACAAAUGCCCCCAGAAACCUUCGCCCUGCCCGUUAACCACAUACACCUGAAUUCACUUUGGAUUCAGUAACUUUGGAUAAAAUGAUCAGCUCAAUUAUUAGAAAGUACUAAGAGUUGUAAUAAAAACAAACAUAAUUACUAAUUUGAAGGGCAUUCCAAGGGAAAGGUUUCAAUAUGCCUUCAACAAGAUAAGAAAUACAGAUGAACAAGCAUUUAUCAACGAAUGGAAAGAACAUAGGAAGCACAGGUCACCCAUUUCAAGCUUGUAUGCGGGUCAUUCAAUGGCAUGUUGCCAUGCUAAGCUAACAGUGCUACCGCUGUAGAAUGCCAAUCAGAGCUCACCUAUAAUAGCUAACUGGCUAUAUAGCAAAUUAGCUAACUAAUAAAUCCAAAGGCAGAAGCACAGUCAAGAGGAUUGUCGUCUUAACAAUUCCUUUAAAUGGUCACUUUAUAAGAUGGCAGCCGGUGUGGAAGCUAGUAGUUGAUGGCGGUUGCUUCUGAGUUGGGCAGUAAUCUGCGUGGAGAUGUUGGACAUUGCUGACUCAGGUCAGAAGAAGGAGCUGAGGGAACUCAGUCCUCUGCUCCUCCAUGCGUCCUCCCUGGACCUUCAGCAGCAAAGAGAAGAAGUCCUCGUCGUCCAUGGGCCCCGGGGCCCGGCUUCGCUGGUCCUCCAGCCGACCCUGGGCCUGCAGGGGGCCACAGUGAGGG